UACGUAGGGUGCGAGCGUUAAUCGGAAUUACUGGGCGUAAAGCGUGCGCAGGCGGUUUUGUAAGCCAGAUGUGAAAUCCCCGGGCUUAACCUGGGAAUGGCAUUUUGGGACUGCAAGGCUCGAGUGCGGCAGAGGAGACUGGAAUUCCUGGUGUAGCAGUGAAAUGCGUAGAUAUCAGGAGGAACACCGGUAGUGUGAAGGACCGGC
rnacentral:rRNA from 1 species